rnacentral:lncRNA from 1 species
AAACAUGACUGAAAUCUCCUUGAGGAGCAUAAUGUGGAGGGUGGGCCCUAAUCCAAUCUGUCAUUAUAAGAAGAGGAAAUUUGGACACAAAAAGAGACACCAGGGGCGUAUGUACACAGAGAAAAGAUCACGUGAGGACACAGAGAGGUCUGCAAACCAAGAAGAGAAGCCUCAGAAGAAACAAAACCAGCCAACCCCUUGAUCUUGGACUUGUAGCUUCCAGAAUUGUGAGGAAAUAAAUUUCUGUUUUAAAGCCACUCCAUUUUUGUUAUUUUG